CGACCGGCGCACGGGUGAGUAACACGUAUGCAACCUGGCCGUGACAGAUGGAUAACCGGGAGAAAUCCCGCCUAAUACAACAUAAUGCCGGGAGGGGACAUCCCCUGCCGGUCAAAGGGGNGACCCCGGUCAUGGAUGGGCAUGCGGCGCAUUAGGUAGUUGGUGGGGCAACGGCCCACCAAGCCGACGAUGCGUAGGGGUUCUGAGAGGAAGGUCCCCCACACUGGUACUGAGACACGGACCAGACUCCUACGGGAGGCAGCAG
rnacentral:rRNA from 1 species